UAUGGCAAAUGUGAGAUGCAGUGUAUGGAAUGUCAAAUUUCUAGUAUGAGAAAUUAACGAUUUAAGUCCUUCUUAAAUGAGGCCAUUUACCCAUAGAGGGUGCCAGGCCCGUAUAACGUUAAUGAUUACUAGAUGGCAUUUCCAAAGAGUCGUGUUGCUUGAUAGUGCAGCACUAAGUGGGUGGUAAACUCCAUCUAAAACUAAAUAUAACCAUGAGACCGAUAGUAAACAAGUACCGUGAGGGAAAGUUGAAAAGAACUCUGAAUAGAGAGUUAAAUAGUACGUGAAACUGCUUAGAGGUUAAGCCCGAUGAACCUGAAUAUCCAUUAUAGAAAAUUCAUCAUUAUGAUUUUAAUAUUAAUAAUAUUAUAAUAAUGGUGUGCAUUUUUUCUAUAACGGACAUUGUAAUCUAUUAACAUAAAUAUAUUUAUCAUAAGAUCAAUGAUGCGUAAGUUUAUUCAAAUUAUUUUGCUUGCAAUUUAACAUAGAAUAAAUGCUCUUGAUUUGAUAAAGUGUUGAUAGAUUUAUUGUAUAUAGUGCUUAAAUAUUUAUAUUUUAUAAUAGCAUAUUAAUCAUUGAUUUUUAUGUUUAUUAUAUGCACUUAUAUGAUUAACAAUGCGAAAGAUUCAGGAUACCUUCGGGACCCGUCUUGAAACACGGACCAAGGAGUCUAACAUAUUUGCAAGUUAUUGGGUAUCAAAACCUAAUAGCGAAAUUAACAUAACUUUAAUGGGAUUAGUUUUUAGAUUAUUUAUAGUCUAUUAAUUCAAUCCCGGGGCGUUCUAUAUAGUUAUGUAUAAUAAUAUUUAUAUUAUUUAUACCUCUAACUAGAGCGUACCUUGAGCAUAUAUGCUGUGACCCGAAAGAUGGUGAACUAUACUUGAUCAGGUUGAAGUCAGGGGAAACCCUGAUGG
rnacentral:rRNA from 1 species